rnacentral:sRNA from 1 species
UAAAUUAGGAUGAUUUGAUAUGUUUAAUAUUAGUGGUCUUAAAAAAUAAUAAAUUAAAGAUUUAACCCGUAUUGAAACGGUGGAUUAAUUAUAUUUUACUUUUUAUUAAUGUUGAUUCAAAAACCCGUCUCUCCAAAUCCGUCUUGCCAAAAAGCCUUUUAUUUUAUUAAUAUUAAUUUUAUUUAUGAUAUGACUCUGAAUUAUAAUUUAAACAUUUUAGCUAAUAACAUAUGAGUGCACCAUAUUUAUUUAAUAGGGGAAUGUUUCAUAUGACCCGAAUGCACUUUUACCCAAAUCCACCAAAAAGUCUUGCAAAAAUACUAUAGACCCGAAUGUACAAUAUUUUUUUUGUGCUAAUCUUUAUGUUAUUAAGAUUUAAUUGAUUUCAUAUAUAAAAUAUUAAAUUGUUUUACGAACUUAUUUGUUUAUAAUUUGGUAACAGAUAUAUAUUUGAAUAUUCAGUAUAUUUUGUUUCAGUUUAGGAAAUCUUUGAUGACCCGUCUUUAAAUCCAAUAAGCCCUUUAGGAAAUCUUUGAUGACCCGUCUUUAAAUCCAAUAAGCUCUAUAAUUAA